rnacentral:rRNA from 1 species
UACGAGUGCCUCAAGCGUUAUCCGGAAUCAUUGGGCGUAAAGGGUGUGUAGGCGGCUUUGUUAGUCUUCUGUAAAAUCUUUCGGCUCAACCGAGAGUCUGCGGAGGAAACGGCAAAGCUAAGAGGACGGGAGAGGUCUCUGGAACUCAUGGUGUAGCGGUGAAAUGCGUUGAUAUCAUGGGGAACACCAAAAGCGAAGGCAAGAGACUGGCCCGCUCCUGACGCUGAAACACGAAAGCGUGGGUCGCGAA